rnacentral:rRNA from 1 species
GAUGAACGCUGGCGGCGUGCCUAAUACAUGCAAGUCGAGCGAACAGAUAAGGAGCUUGCUCCUUUGACGUUAGCGGCGGACGGGUGAGUAACACGUGGAUAACCUACCUAUAAGACUGGGAUCACUUCGGGAAACCGGAGCUAAUACCGGAUAACAUAUUGAACCGCAUGGUUCAAUGGAGAAAGGCGGCUUUGCUGUCACUUAUAGAUGGAUCCGGGCGGUAUUAGCUAGUUGUUAAGGUAACGGCGUUCCAAGGCAAGGAUACGUAGCCGACCGGAGAGGGGGGUCGGCCGCACGGGAGGUGGGACGCGGUCCAGGGGCCUGCGGGAGGGAGCAGUAGGGAAUGUGCCGCAAUGGGCGAAAGCCUGACGGAGCAACGCCGCGUGAGUGAUGAAGGUCUUCGGAUCGUAAAACUCUGUUAUCAGGGAAGAACAAAUGUGUAAGUAACUGUGCACAGCGUGACGGUACCUGAUCAGAAAGCCACGGCUAACUACGUG